GAGUGGCGACGGGUGAGUAAUGCGUCGGAACGUGCCGAGAUAGUGGGGGAUAACGCAGCGAAAGUUGUGCUAAUACCGCAUACGUACUGAGGUAGAAAGUGGGGGACCUUCGGGCCUCACGCUAUUCGAGCGGCCGACGUCUGAUUAGCUAGUAGGUGAGGUAAAGGCUCACCUAGGCGACGAUCAGUAGCGGGUCUGAGAGGAUGAUCCGCCACACUGGGACUGAGACACGGCCCAGACUCCUACGGGAGGCAGCAGUGGGGAAUUUUGGACAAUGGGCGAAAGCCUGAUCCAGCCAUGCCGCGUGUCUGAAGAAGGCCUUCGGGUUGUAAAGGACUUUUGUCAGGGAGGAAAUCCCUAGCGUUAAUACCGCUGGGGGAUGACAGUACCUGAAGAAUAAGCACCGGCUAACUACGUGCCAGCAGCCGCGGUAAUACGUAGGGUGCGAGCGUUAAUCGGAAUUACUGGGCGUAAAGCGUGCGCAGGCGGUUUGAUAAGCCAGAUGUGAAAUCCCCGAGCUCAACUUGGGAACUGCGUUUGGAACUGUCAGACUAGAGUGCGUCAGAGGGGGUGGAAUUCCGCGUGUAGCAGUGAAAUGCGUAGAGAUGCGGAGGAACACCGAUGGCGAAGCAGCCCCCUGGGAUGACACUGACGCUCAUGCACGAAAGCGGUGGGGAGCAAACAGGAUUAGAUACCCUGGUAGUCCACCGCCCUAAACGAUGUCAUUAGCU
rnacentral:rRNA from 1 species